UCCGAAUUGGUGUAGGGGUUAACAUUGCCGCUUCUCAGAAUUACGUAAUCUUAAUAGGCCACGUACAGCUUGCGCGGCAGCCCGGGGUUCGAUUCCCCGAUUCGGAA